UCAAGCUACAAAGAGCACAAGGGGAAUGCCUUGGCACCGAGAGCCGAAGAAGGACGUGACUAACUGCGAUAAGCUGCGGGGAGCCGUAAGUAGGCUUUGAUCCGCAGAUUUCCGAAUGGAGCAAUCCGGCAAGAGGAAAGUCUUGUCAUCAUAUACUGAAUACAUAGGUAUAUGAGGGGAACCGCCUGAACUGAAACAUCUAAGUAGGGCGAGGAAGAGAAAUCAACUGAGAUUCCGUAAGUAGUGGCGAGCGAACGCGGAAGAGGCCAAACCGAGAGUAGUAAUACUUUCGGGGUUCGGACAGAAAACGGUAUUGUAAAGGUUUAGUGGAAUGGAAUGGGAAGUCCAACCGAAGAAGGUGAGAGUCCUGUACACGAAAAGCCUGAACAGCCAUCUGUAUCCAGAGUACCGCCGGACACGUGAAACCCGGUGGGAAUACGGGGGGACCAUCCUCCAAGCCUAAAUACUACUCGGUGACCGAUAGUGAAGAAGUACUGUGAAGGAAAGGUGAAAAGUACCCCUGACGGGGAGUGAAAAAGAACCUGAAACCUUGUGUUUACAAGCACCGAAAGCUCAUCAAAGAGCGAUCGGGUACCUUUUGUAGAAUGGUCCGGCGAGUGAAUGUAACCGGCGAGGUUAAGCACUUAAGGUGUGAAGCCGCAGCGAGAGCAAGUCUGAAUAGGGCGUAUGAAGUCGGUUGUAUUCGACCCGAAACCGGGUGACCUACCCAUGGUCAGGUUGAAGUAAAGGUAAAACUUUAUGGAGGACCGAACCGACUCCCGUUGAAAUGGUAGCGGAUGAACUGUGGGUAGCGGAGAAAUUCCAAUCGAACCCGGAGAUAGCUGGUUCUCUCCGAAAUAGCUUUAGGGCUAGCCUUGAAAUAGAUUACCGGAGGUAAAGCACUGAAUUGGCUAGGGGCCGAGAGGUUACUGAACCUUAUCAAACUAAGAAUGCCGGAUAAUCGUUUUUCAGGAGUCAGACAGUGGGAGAUAAGUUUCAUUGUCCAAAGGGAAACAGCCCAGACCCACAGCUAAGGUCCCCAAGUAUAGUUAAGUGGAAAAGGAUGUGGAAUUGCACAGACAACCAGGAUGUUGGCUUAGAAGCAGCCACUCAUUAAAAGAGUGCGUAAUAGCUCACUGGUCGAGUGACUCUGCGCCGAAAAUUUAACGGGGCUAAACUAUACACCGAAGCUUGGGAUACAUCUAAUGUAUGGUAGGAGAGCGUUCUGUAUGGGGAGAAGUCGUAGCGAAAGCGGCGGUGGACUAUACAGAAGUGAGAAUGCCGGAAUAAGUAGCGAGAAUUAAGUGAGAAUCUUAAUGGCCGAAAGUCUAAGGUUUUUGGAGGAAGGUUCGUCCGCUCCAAGUAAGUCGGGAGCUAAGGUCAGGCCGAAAGGCGUAGCCGAUGCACAUACGGUUGAUAUUCCGUAACCAUCUGUAAUUUAAGCAAAGGGACACUUCAAAAGGGUGUGACCCGGGCGUUGGUUGACCCGGGCGUAAGGGACCGAAAUUAGAGUAGGGAAGCACACUUAGCUGAAGGCGAGAAAAGCUUUGCGUAUAGAAACAGAUGCCCGUACCGCAAACCGACACAGGUGGACAGGAAGAGAAUUCUAAGGCCAGCGGGAGAAGGGUAGUUAAGGAACUCGGCAAAUUGACUCCGUAACUUCGGAAUAAGGAGUGCUCGAAAGAGCCGCAGAGAAUAGGCCCAGGCGACUGUUUAGCAAAAACACAGGUCUCUGCCAAAUCGAAAGAUGAAGUAUAGGGGCUGACACCUGCCCGGUGCCGGAAGGUUAAGAGGAGGAGUGAGAGCUCCGAAUUGAAGCCCCGGUAAACGGCGGCCGUAACUAUAACGGUCCUAAGGUAGCGAAAUUCCUUGUCGGGUAAGUUCCGACCCGCACGAAAGGCGUAA
rnacentral:rRNA from 1 species